CCAGAAAGCAAUAGCUGCGAUUAAUUUGGUAUACCAGACUUUUAUGUAGGCAAGAAAUUCCCCUCUCCGGAGGAGAGGGCGCUGGGCGUUAGCCCAUGGUACAAUUCAAGGUAACUAAGAAGAGGAAAUUAAAACCUCAGAAAGCGCAAAGACAGCAAAUACUAGGUUAGACCUAUUAUUUCAUAAAGAUUUUCCCCUAAUAGUGCAAAUGAGACGAAGGAGACGACGUUGCAGAUUCACAUAACACAUGACCAAGGAAACACCCUAGUAGAAAACACUUAGACCAGCACCGGUCUACGUAGACAUUUGUUCACGCUAGCACAAUCUGCAUAUGGGUAACUGUCCGAGGCAAAAGUGACUCUGCUAAUCUUCUGCCGUGCAGCCGACGCGGACGGAGCAUGUCCAUGAAAAUGAGCACAAUCUGGCGUUGAACCCACCCAUGAAACUUUCCAAGGAGGCCAUGCAAGUGAAGCCCAGAGAGGAAUACAAACGGCGCUAUACAGGGAAGGAAGCGAAAGGAGCCCUGGAACAACAUAGAUGCGAGGGAAACCACUGUGAACGAGGCGGCGAGGGCCAUUAGGCUACGAAUUAAGGCUUGAGCGCAAGAACGUGGGCCUGGAUUGAUGGCUGAUACAGAUGGUCGAUCAAGAAGUGCCAAGAAGCAAUACGAUAGAAGGCUAAAGAUGGCGAUGAAGGUGGUAAUGGGUUGAGUGUCAAAAGGAGACUCUGGCUUGCCUUGGAACUUCACUUCAAUGAGAUUCACUAGGACUUGAAUAAUGAAGGUGAGAGUGCCAUGGUGGUGGGAACUAGUGAACAACGCAGGCCAAGUUUCGAUGCUUCUCCAUCGAGGAAGGUUUAGUGGCAUUUUAGUAUGUGUCGGGAAGAAAACGCAAAUAAUUAAUUACUUGGUUGUUACGACCAGCACUUACNNNNNNNNNNNNNNNNNNNNNNNNNNNNNNNNNNNNNNNNNNNNNNNNNNNNNNNNNNNNNNNNNNNNNNNNNNNNNNNNNNNNNNNNNNNNNNNNNNNNCCGGCGAUACGCUCGAGAGAGAGAGAGAGAGAGAGAGAGAGAGAGAGAGAGAGAGAGAGAGAGAGAGAGAGAGAGAGAGAGAGUAUUAGUAUCAUGAUUUGGACUCUAAACUUGUGUUUAGAUACCAUAUUAAACAAAUUAAAGACAUCAAGAAAAUUAUGCCUUCUUUGACACAUUUAUCACUAUAUCCAUUAUGAUAUAUUUACAUUAAACAUUAUUUUGUGAUACAAAAAACUUCAAAUUUAUAACACAUUUAUCCUCGGUUUGAUGUUCCAUCAAUGAGCACCAUUAAAAAUCUAUCUACUUGGAUGACAGAAGGUUAAUGAUGUUGACAUAGUGUCCAUAUGACCAAAGUGAAAUAAAAACAAUAUUAUCAUAGCUAAAAAAUCAUGUAAUGAAAUCUUGACAAAGUAUAAAUAUGCCAUAUUGAUAUAGCUUUGGAGUUUUUGAUGUUAUAGUAAAAAGUUUAGGGUAAUGUAUUAUAAUUAACAUAAUUUAAGGUUUUUGAUGUCCAAAAAAAUUUAGAAUGAAUCUGUCACAAUAAAUAUAAUUUCAAUUUUUUUAUGGCUUUUUCUCUAUUGUUUUUCCUAAAAACUUAAAUAAUUGGAAAACGACCAACAAUGGAUACGUACACAAUAUUUUUCUUCAAAAGUAAGGUUUAUUAAAUGACAAAAGAUCAUGCGUACUGCGUAGGGGUUGGGAUGGUGAUGUCCGCACAGAACAACAAGAAGCACGCCAGUACAGUCUUCUCAGGUUGAGAUUUUCUAUGGGUGUCUUUAUGGCUCCGAUCUUAAAAAGUAAGGUCUUCCAGGAGGAAACGAAGAAGUUCCGCUCUCCGUUCCUGGUAUAGUGCGUAUACAGGGGAAGCCGAUUUGGGGGAAAUUUCCUUUCAUUUCUUUAACCACCCCCUUCGAAAGUCAAAAGUAAGUGCACGUUGAUUAACUAGCUUUAAUCGCAAGGAUGGGGUUGAUAUUCUAAGAUGUAUUAUUUUGCAGGUGUCCCCACAACUUCACGUGGCUGAUCUGGAAUAGAUAAAGAUUGCCAUUCAUCAACGAAUACUUUUCUCAUCAAGUAGGCAUUUGAUUUGGUCUUCUACUUUUUGCAAUGGAUAUUGUCAAAAUUCUCCGCUGUGUGUUUAGUCAAUAUUUUUUUUUUUUUUCAUGUGCGUUUGGUGAUGGCAAGUUAUGACUUUACUUCAAGGGAUUUUGCCCAACACAUUACAUCAUCAUUGUCUUUUAUAGACAUUAGAAGGUUACAAACAUACAAGGACCAAACUCACGGAUUCUAAAACAAAUAAAGGCUCUGGAAAAUCGGGCAAUAAUUAUUCUUCGUGGUAUGAAUAGUGACAAUGAACAGUUGAAGUCAUAAAGAUUUGUUUUAGAAUUGGAUUAGCUCCAAUACCAUAGAAAAGCUUGAGCAUUUCCCGAUAGUGUUUAUUGAGAUGUUUUUUUUUUUUUCUGGAGAGAGUAAUAUUUUCUUUCAAAAAAUUCUCACACUAAUUGCCACAACCCUCAUUCAAUUGCAAAGGCUUGCCAAAUAAGACCCUAAACCGACUCCAAAAUUUAGAACACAACUAUAAUUUAUUAGGACUCAAAACACUUCGACAAUCAAGUUAGAUUGGAUCCUUUUUUAUAUUGGAAACCAAACACGUUUCCAUAUAAGAGUGCACCAAAAGGGGGAACAUAUGGCUUGACUUUUCCUUUCCUCAACUUUAUGUGACCAUUUACUACCAAAGUUCAUAUAAAUGAAACAUCACACCUCUCUUUGGUCUAAUUUGCCUUACCCUGAUGAAUUAAUAACACAGUUUUAAAGUAAACCUCCUCUUCAAUCCUUCCACCCCGCUUUGGAAAUGUUUUUCUUGGCUUAUCAAGCUUCAAUUAAUAAACCCCACCUUUUCCCCUCCUCUCAGCUACUCAUGUUAGUCAUGCUCAUCUUACUAACGACACAUUAACGACGUUAAUAGCUCUCUGAUCAUUGGUUUAACCUGCUCCAAAUCUUGACUCACAUCUGUUUUUACUUCACUAGUUGCUUCAUAGGAAAUGUUGCCAAGCUUGCAAGGCGACACUAUAAUGCUAGAGAUACCAGAUUUGUUUUCUAAAGUCGAUUCGCUAUACGGUGUGGAAUACUAUAAAAACAUAAUAAAAAUCAGUGGUCAUAGUCAAAUUUUAACCAUAAUCACCUCGUUUCAUUUAUAACCCGGAGAGAGAGCUAAGAAAUGGAUGAUUUUUUCAACUUCUGUUCCUUCGUGAAAAAAUGCCCGGUACCUUAUUCUCAGGUUGCAAAAGAUAUAUGAUUUUAAGCCAGUUAAUAUGAAGUACUCUUCUAGAAAAUUGAGUUCCCUUCUUGUUUCAGUUUGAAAGUAGUGAAAUAUCGUUUCAAGUUCUUUUUUUCUUUAAUUUUCAGAUUUUGAGAAUAAAGAUAGACUGAUUUUCUGGUUAUUAAUUUUGUUACUUUUGUUUUCACUUAAAUGAGAAGGUAUAUAUUAUCAAAUUUUCUAUCCGCCAUUGUUUUUCCUGCCAUUUUCGCAUAUGAUUUUCAUUCUUGAAAUUAUUUAUUUUCAUGCAAGUUGCCAUAAGAUUUCAUUCUUGAACAUAAAUGCAUUUUGUGAUUUUCUUGUAAGUUGGACUUUGCACGUAAGAUAUAUAGACACCAAGAGGCAUAGGAAAAUAGGAAAAGUAGAAUACAAACCAUUUCUCUUAAAACCUUAAAUUGUUAGGAAUGGAUCAACAAUGCAUAUAUAGCAAACUACUAAAUACCCGUCGCUGAUAAGUGAAUCAUUAAGAGAGAGUGUUGGGAUUUGAACUAUUGACCUUUAUUCUAAUACCAUACUAAACAAAUGGUUUUUCAGAGGAAUUUGAACUAUCAGGAAACGGAUCGACUAUGUACACUUGCACAGCAUAUUACCUAUAAGGUAGGGUCCAUUAGAUUACAUGUGAACUUGGGUUUGGGAUGGUCAUGUCCAGACAGAAGAAAAAGAAGCACGCUGAUACAAUUUUCUGAGCUUGAAAUUUUCUAGGUGUCUUUAUGCCUCUGGUCCCCCACUUAAAGAUUAGGGUCCGUCCAAUUACAUAUGGUCUUCCAAACAGGGAGUUUGAAAAUUCUGUUCCUAGGAGUGUGUGUAUGUAGUGAAGCCCGCUUUGUUGAAACUUCCCUUCUUUUCUUUAACUAACCCCGCACUAUCAACCCCAUUGAAAGUGGCAAGCAAGUCGACGUUGAUAAACUAGCUUUAAUUGAGAUCUUUACUCGAAAUUAUUAGAUGCCAUCCCAAGUUGAUGAGUUUGUUUCUAAGUUGCUCCUACGUUUUCACAUGGCAAAUGUAAAACAAACAAAAAUAUCAUUCGUCAGCUAAUACACUUCUUAUCAAGUGGGCAUUUGAUUUGUUCUUUAUUUUUGAGAUAAGCGUACUAGAAAUCUUAAAACUUAUCGUAAAAAUAUUAUUGAAUUCUAAAAUUUUCAAAAAAUAUAAUCAACUUCUCCAUUAAUUUUGUCCAAUUUAGCUUAUGAAAAACAAUGACAUGGCUUCUUCUAUUAUCUUCUCUUUCUACGUGGCUGUCAACAUAAAAUCAAGCAUGAAUCAAUGCACAAAACGACUCGUAUUUGCCCAAAAAUCUUGAUUUUUUCGCUCAAAACUUAAUAAAAUCCUAACUGCGAAUAGGUCGUGCUGGUAUCUGCUUUGAGGUUUGGACCGUAUCUUGUAAUUGCCUGGAAAUUCAUCCUUAGUUUCGUGCCCCAGUUUUCCACAACUGAAAUAGAGCCGCGGAAGACCUUCACAACAGAAUUUGAUCCACAGUGGAUUCUUGUGUUGACUGACAUCAAAUUCGAAUCGACACUUAUGAACUUAUGCUUAGUUCAUUUUUAAUGAUGGGACAGUGAAGAUACGAGCUCUGGUAAGGUUGCUUUCUGAUUGCAAAUCAAGGGAAACUUCCAUAGAUUUGCACCCAGAACCGAGCGGUGGUAAAAUGUUCCCUCAUAUGGGAUUGGGUUUAGGUUUACACGUAAAAAUCCAUGGAAUUUCCCUUCACUUUGCCUGGUAAAGUGGUGGGAAACUCCUCAUGCGCAGCAUCCCGAAAUAAAGGACGUAGCACGAGAUAAGCUCCCAACAGAGCCUAAGGAAUCCCGAGCUCAACUCCGAAGCUUAUCAGGCUCUUGUUCGAAGGUGAAGAGGAUAACAUUCACCAUCCUUCCUUCAACGCGUACCCAUCGAGAGGGGAGACCGGAAGCAGUGUGCAGGAGCCACGUUGAGGUCACCUUGUCACUGGCAAGUCCAGCGAGCCUCGCCAAACGCCGGCAGUAGCCGCCUUUGACUCCGAAGUGAGCAUGUACAUUUACAUAGAGAGAGAUAACCCGCCAAGGCUGCUGCAAUUGUAGGCCUUGCCAUUGGUCAGGGAGGGCUGUACGCGUGCUUAGAUUGUGAAGAGGGUAUGGCCCUCGCAUCAGAUCUUCUGCGAGCGAGGGACUCACUGCAUAAUGUUGGCGACGGGGGCGACCCUCGCCCAUUGGCCCAGAUUUCUUGCUCACUUGACUAAAUUGAUUUGUGAGCAAGGGACCCUCGAUUCUAAUUUGUCGGCAUCGAAUAUGACCCUAGCCCACUCACCCAGAUCUGUCGCGAGUGAGGGACCCUAGCUGCUCGUCUGACGCUGGUGCUGGCCGCAACCCUAACCCACUCGUGCAGACCUGCUGUAAGUAAGUCCCAACUUACUUAGAAGUGCCACAACUCUUGUGGGUGGCUGUUGAUGUUGAUAACCCUAUAAGGUUGCUAAAUGAGACCAAAAAUCAAUUCUAAAAUCCAAAAUCCGACUAUGAUUCAUUAGGAUUCAAGCACCUUGAGGAUCGAGUUAAACCAAAGCUUGCAGGGCGAUAUUAUAAUGGUAGAGAUGCCCGAAUUGUUUUCUAAAGUCAAUUCGCUAAAUGGUGUGGAAUACUAUAAAACCAUAAUGAAAACCAGUGGUCAUAAUCAAAUUUUAACUAUUACCAUCUCGUCUCAUUUAUAACACGGAGACAGCUGAGAAAUGGAGAAUUUUUUCAACUUUUGUUCUUUCCUGAAGAAUAUGCACGGUACCUUAUUCUCAGGUUGCCAAAGAUAUAUGUGAUUCCAAGCCAGUAAACAUGAAGGACUCUUCUAGAAAAUUGAGUUCUCUUCUUGCUUCAGUUUAAUGAAUAUCGUUUCAAGUUUUAUCUGCAGAUAAUUUCAGAAAAGCUACGCAGGUGCGGCAUGGACUCAGACCAACUUACGUCGACCCCCACUAUGGCUUCCUGGACACCUGGAGUCGAUCAACCCCUUUCACCACUGAUCCAGCGCUUGCAGAGCUCCUCAUUCCGGUCGCUGAAAACAUUUUGCUCGCCUCUAAUCCUUCUGUUGGAAUGCUAGUCUCUUAUGAGUCAAUUGCACUUCAAAGUCGAAUACUAUCUUUAUCUGCCUCUACUUGUGUCCCAACCAGUGACUCUUAUAUAGAAGAGAUUGCUCUUCAGCCCUAAAAAAAGAACAAAUAGACCUAGCACUAAAAAGAGAGAAAAAGCAAAGAACACGCAGUCAUAAAAUAGUUUCGCCCGUACUCAGUUUUCGGCUCCCGAUUGAAAGGACAAACAUUAUUGCAGUAUUAUAUUUGAAAUAAUGAACAGGCAAAUCAUGUACAGUUUACAAGUGGCAUAACUUUAAGAUUCUAGUACUCGUUGAUAUUGGUUGACAGUGUUCAUCACUAAGAAUCCCCCCGUGAUCGAUUUGCUCUUUUUGGUCCAUAAAAAAGGGGAUUUAUGUUUCGGGGACAAUGAAUUUCUGUCCCUACAUUAAGCAGAAGUCCCAUGAUUUUCUGUUCUCAGAAAACAAGUAUUUUCACUAAAUUGUGAAAAUGGUUCUAUAAGCAACUCGAGUAUUCCCAGAUUGACAAUUGACGAUUUAUCUAUGGAAUGUGAACUUGAUUUCCUGUACACAUGCCAUUUUCCUAACAUGGUUAGUGGAAGCUAUGAUCCGUGAUCACAAAAUGGAAGGGGUAUAUAUCCAUUUAUAGACUUGUGUAUGUUGGUCGAUGUGAAUAUUUGGAAAACUAAUACUCCUAUAGAGUCAAUGCGCAUCUCAUUGUUAAGUCCUUAGACUAGAGAUAGUAAAAUCCAUUUUAUUGCAGACCAAUAGGCGAAGCGAAUCAUAGAGCAUGAAAGUGGCAUCUAUGUCGAUUGAAGAGGCGUUCAAGGUUAAGUCCAAUUGUAGUAUGUUUGGCUUGGUCUACAGAAAUCUUGUUCUCGGAAUUUUAUGUUACAGGGACCCUCAUAAUGGGGAAUUAUUUUUGCCUAAACCUGGAUUUUCAGAAUAAUUAACAGUAUAUUCAUGUCUUUAGAAAUUGUAUCUUACAAAAAACCUGGUUUAUCAGGAUGAAUAACAGUAUGUUCUUGUUCUUAGAAUUUUAUAUUACAAGAACUGUAAAAUUGAGAAUUUCUUGCCUAAACCUAGAUUUAUGGACCGAGUGCAAGCACAAUUGUUGAUCUUAUGGGGCUAACAAAUGUGCUCACCAGAAACCCUAGUAAGCAAUGGUUGUGAUUAAUUUGGUCCACCUAGAAUUAGGACUAGGCAAGAAAUUCUCGGCGACCUGGUCAUUAGCACGUGGUACAACCAAAGGUAACUAAGAAAAGGAAAUUAAAACCCCACAAAGGUGCGAUGACAACAAAUACUAGGUAGGUCUUUUCCCCUGCUAAUGCAAAAGAUACGGAGGAGACAACGUUGCAAAUUCACACCACACAUGACCAAGGAAACACCCUACCAUAAAGCACUUAACCAGCACCGGUCUCCACUGUAAUUAAUUCCGUCCACCUAUAUCGGUCAACUUAGGCGUUUGUUCAUGCCGUCUGCAUUUGGGUAACCAUACGAGGCAAAAGUGGCCGUGGUAAUCUUCUGUUGUGCAGCCGAAACGGACGUAGCAAGUCCAUGAAAAAGAGCGCAAUCUGGCAUUGAACCCGCCCAUGAAGUUUUCGAAGGAGACCAUGCAAGUGAAGCCCAAAGAGCAAUACAAAUGGCACUACAAAGACACGUUUGGUAAUCAUUAUGUUCACGGGAACAUUCUUAAGCAUUUUAAGCCAUUUGGUAAUUGCCUAAUUUUUUUUUUCCGGAAUAGAAUUGUGUUUGGUACCAUUCUGAAAAUUUCUAAUCCAAAUUAUUUUCUUUUAAUUUUUUAAUAAUUUUAUUAUUUUCUUCUUCUUCUUCAUCUUAAGAACAAGAACAAAAAGAAAGAAAAGAAAAAAGAAAAAUUAGGUUGAUUUGAUUCUGGAAUUGUUUCCGAGAACAAAAAUAAUUUUUUUUUAUUUUUUAUUUUUACAUUUUGGUUGUGUUCUAAAUCUACUUUCGGGAAAAAAAAAAUAAAAAUUUAUUCCCAAAAAUAAAAGUUUUAUCAAACGGAUUUUUAUUUCAAAUUUACUCCCUACGAUAAAAGAAUAAAAAUUUUCACUAUUUAGUCGGUUGUCAUAGACGAAGUGAAAGGAGCCCAAGAACGACAACGAUGCGAGGGAAACCAACGAGAGCGAGGCAGUGAGGGUCAUGAGUCUUGGUACUAAGACCUGAGCGCAAGGACGUGAACCAGGAGUGAUGGCUGAUACAGAU
rnacentral:lncRNA from 1 species